GACGAACGCUGGCGGCGUGCUUAACACAUGCAAGUCGAACGGAAAGGCCCUGCUUUUGUGGGGUGCUCGAGUGGCGAACGGGUGAGUAACACGUGAGUAACCUCCCCUUGACUUUGGGAUAACUUCAGGAAACUGGGGCUAAUACCGGAUAGGAGCUCCUGCUGCAUGGUGGGGGUUGGAAAGUUUCGGCGGUUGGGGAUGGACUCGCGGCUUAUCAGCUUGUUGGUGGGUAGUGGCUUACCAAGGCUUUGACGGGUAGCCGGCCUGAGAGGGUGACCGGCCACAUUGGGACUGAGAUACGGCCCAGACUCCUACGGGAGGCAGCAGUGGGGAAUAUUGCACAAUGGGCGGAAGCCUGAUGCAGCAACGCCGCGUGCGGGAUGACGGCCUUCGGGUUGUAAACCGCUUUCGCCUGUGACGAAGCGUGAGUGACGGUAAUGGGUAAAGAAGCACCGGCUAACUACGUG
rnacentral:rRNA from 1 species